GACGAACGCUGUUGGCGUGCUUAACACAUGCAAGUCGAACGGAAAGGCCCUGCUUUUGUGGGGUGCUCGAGUGGCGAACGGGUGAGUAACACGUGAGUAACCUGCCCUUGACUUUGGGAUAACUUCAGGAAACUGGGGCUAAUACCGGAUAGGAGCUCCUGCUGCAUGGUGGGGGUUGGAAAGUUUCGGCGGUUGGGGAUGGACUCGCGGCUUAUCAGCUUGUUGGUGGGGUAGUGGCUUACCAAGGCUUUGACGGGUAGCCGGCCUGAGAGGGUGACCGGCCACAUUGGGACUGAGAUACGGCCCAGACUCCUACGGGAGGCAGCAGUGGGGAAUAUUGCACAAUGGGCGGAAGCCUGAUGCAGCAACGCCGCGUGCGGGAUGACGGCCUUCGGGUUGUAAACCGCUUUCGCCUGUGACGAAGCGUGAGUGACGGUAAUGGGUAAAGAAGCACCGGCUAACUACGUGCCAGCAGCCGCGGUGAUACGUAGGGUGCGAGCGUUGUCCGGAUUUAUUGGGCGUAAAGGGCUCGUAGGUGGUUGAUCGCGUCGGAAGUGUAAUCUUGGGGCUUAACCCUGAGCGUGCUUUCGAUACGGGUUGACUUGAGGAAGGUAGGGGAGAAUGGAAUUCCUGGUGGAGCGGUGGAAUGCGCAGAUAUCAGGAGGAACACCAGUGGCGAAGGCGGUUCUCUGGGCCUUUCCUGACGCUGAGGAGCGAAAGCGUGGGGAGCGAACAGGCUUAGAUACCCUGGUAGUCCGCGCUGUAAACGGUGGGUACUAGGUGUGGGGUCCAUUCCACGGGUUCCGUGCCGUAGCUAACGCUUUAAGUACCCCGCCUGGGGAGUACGGCCGCAAGGCUAAAACUCAAAGGAAUUGACGGGGCCCCGCACAAGCGGCGGAGCAUGCGGAUUAAUUCGAUGCAACGCGUAGAACCUUACCUGGGUUUGACAUGGAUCGGGAGCGCUCAGAGAUGGGUGUGCCUCUUUUGGGGUCGGUUCACAGGUGGUGCAUGGCUGUCGUCAGCUCGUGUCGUGAGAUGUUGGGUUAAGUCCCGCAACGAGCGCAACCCUUGUUCACUGUUGCCAGCACGUUAUGGUGGGGACUCAGUGGAGACCGCCGGGGUCAACUCGGAGGAAGGUGGGGAUGACGUCAAGUCAUCAUGCCCCUUAUGUCCAGGGCUUCACGCAUGCUACAAUGGCUGGUACAGAGAGUGGCGAGCCUGUGAGGGUGAGCGAAUCUCGGAAAGCCGGUCUCAGUUCGGAUUGGGGUCUGCAACUCGACCUCAUGAAGUCGGAGUCGCUAGUAAUCGCAGAUCAGCAACGCUGCGGUGAAUACGUUCCCGGG
rnacentral:rRNA from 1 species